rnacentral:tRNA from 1 species
UCCUGUCGUGGUCGACGGGUGGCAACGCGGGCUUCAAGGGCUCGCGCAAGUCCACGCCGUUCGCCGCGCAGGUCGCUGCCGAGGCCGCGACC